UUUGUAUGCCUUUAAAGAUAUUUUAAUCUCAGGUUGCGUUUCAUGUCAUUGAUUUUUAGUCUUCAUUCAUGUAGUGUAUCGGACGCAAGUGUUGAUGCCGCUGUCCGUCAAUUUGUAAUAAAACUGUGUACAGAGGGCAUCAUGAUUGACGUUCAGAUUUAAUGCAACAAAUAUUUAAUGUAACAACAUGAAUAAAGAUUUACAAAUGUUGAAUGACUCGUUUUUUAAGUUUGUUCAUUUUAUCUGAAAGAAAUAUUUUAAGCC